GACGAACGCUGGCGGCGUGCCUAAUACAUGCAAGUAGAACGCUGAAGAGAGGAGCUUGCUCUUCUUGGAUGAGUUGCGAACGGGUGAGUAACGCGUAGGUAACCUGCCUGGUAGCGGGGGAUAACUAUUGGAAACGAUAGCUAAUACCGCAUAAAAUUGAUUAUUGCAUGAUAAUUAAUUGAAAGAUGCAACUGCAUCACUACCAGAUGGACCUGCGUUGUAUUAGCUAGUUGGUGAGGUAACGGCUCACCAAGGCGACGAUACAUAGCCGACCUGAGAGGGUGAUCGGCCACACUGGGACUGAGACACGGCCCAGACUCCUACGGGAGGCAGCAGUAGGGAAUCUUCGGCAAUGGGGGGAACCCUGACCGAGCAACGCCGCGUGAGUGAAGAAGGUUUUCGGAUCGUAAAGCUCUGUUGUAAGAGAAGAACGGGUGUGAGAGUGGAAAGUUCACACUGUGACGGUAUCUUACCAGAAAGGGACGGCUAACUACGUGCCAGCAGCCGCGGUAAUACGUAGGUCCCGAGCGUUGUCCGGAUUUAUUGGGCGUAAAGCGAGCGCAGGCGGUUAGAUAAGUCUGAAGUUAAAGGCUGUGGCUUAACCAUAGUAUGCUUUGGAAACUGUUUAACUUGAGUGCAGAAGGGGAGAGUGGAAUUCCAUGUGUAGCGGUGAAAUGCGUAGAUAUAUGGAGGAACACCGGUGGCGAAAGCGGCUCUCUGGUCUGUAACUGACGCUGAGGCUCGAAAGCGUGGGGAGCAAACAGGAUUAGAUACCCUGGUAGUCCACGCCGUAAACGAUGAGUGCUAGGUGUUAGGCCCUUUCCGGGGCUUAGUGCCGCAGCUAACGCAUUAAGCACUCCGCCUGGGGAGUACGACCGCAAGGUUGAAACUCAAAGGAAUUGACGGGGGCCCGCACAAGCGGUGGAGCACGUGGUUUAAUUCGAAGCAACGCGAAGAACCUUACCAGGUCUUGACAUCCCUCUGACCGCUCUAGAGAUAGAGUUUUCCUUCGGGACAGAGGUGACAGGUGGUGCAUGGUUGUCGUCAGCUCGUGUCGUGAGAUGUUGGGUUAAGUCCCGCAACGAGCGCAACCCCUAUUGUUAGUUGCCAUCAUUCAGUUGGGCACUCUAGCGAGACUGCCGGUAAUAAACCGGAGGAAGGUGGGGAUGACGUCAAAUCAUCAUGCCCCUUAUGACCUGGGCUACACACGUGCUACAAUGGCUGGUACAACGAGUCGCAAGCCGGUGACGGCAAGCUAAUCUCUGAAAGCCAGUCUCAGUUCGGAUUGUAGGCUGCAACUCGCCUACAUGAAGUCGGAAUCGCUAGUAAUCGCGGAUCAGCACGCCGCGGUGAAUACGUUCCCGGGCCU
rnacentral:rRNA from 1 species